rnacentral:rRNA from 1 species
GAUGAACGCUGGCGGCGUGCCUAAUACAUGCAAGUCGAGCGAACGGACGAGAAGCUUGCUUCUCUGAUGUUAGCGGCGGACGGGUGAGUAACACGUGGAUAACCUACCUAUAAGACUGGGAUAACUUCGGGAAACCGGAGCUAAUACCGGAUGAUAUUUUGAACCGCAUGGUUCAAUAGUGAAAGACGGUCUUGCUGUCACUUAUAGAUGGAUCCGCGCUGCAUUAGCUAGUUGGUAAGGUUACGGCUUACCAAGGCAACGAUGCAUAGCCGACCUGAGAGGGUGAUCGGCCACACUGGAACUGAGACACGGUCCAGACUCCUACGGGAGGCAGCAGUAGGGAAUCUUCCGCAAAGGGCGAAAGCCUGACGGAGCAACGCCGCGUGAGUGAUGAAGGUCUUCGGAUCGUAAAACUCUGUUAUUAGGGAAGAACAUAUGUGUAAGUAACUGUGCACAUCUUGACGGUACCUAAUCAGAAAGCCACGGCUAACUACGUG